GUUUUAGAGCUUUGUAUAUAUAGAAGCUGACAGCUAGAAGCGAAAGGACAAACUCGAAUCUCAGUUUAAUUUUAACGUUCAUUGGCAACUUCCUUUGAUAGUGGACCUGUAGUAGGCUGUAUCUAAUAGUAAUGCCGAUUUAAUAUCUAUCAUCAUAAGGCCUGAUGUAUUGAUUUAAAUAUUUUUUGUGACUAAAGUUUAUACUGUGCUUCUUUUUACUUUGGCUUCUUUCCUUCUCUACCGACCAUCAUCCAUAUCAUGAAAUCAAGUCGCCACAACUUGAAAUAUCAGGCUACUAGUAGUUCUGGUUCAAGUUAUACUAAGGAUAGACGAGAGACAAGAGCUCCAUGUCACUCCACUUUUUCUACCUCUUCUGAUCCAGCAUCGGAUCUCCAUCCAAGUAACAAUGAGUCAUCAUCUAAGGAUACGGCGAAAAGUAAAUCCAGUUCCAAGAAAAGGGUUUUUGAUUCACCCAAUCGGCGCUACUGGUUUCCAAAGAAAACUACAGAAAUGAACGGACCCGGAUUCAAAUUCACCGUCAUGUCUUAUAAUAUUCUCUCUGAUUCACUCAUGGCAUUUCAUACAGAACUUUAUAGGGGAUGUAAAAAUGAUGAUUUGAUUUGGAUCAAUCGGUGGCCUAGGAUCUUAAAAGAAAUUCGAUCCAUAUCCCCUGAUGUUCUGGCACUUCAAGAGGCGCAAAGUGACCACUAUGUAACUAAUAUAUAUCCUGACUUAAAGACUCUAAACUAUGAAGGCUCCUUUAAAAAGCGCACUGGAAAUAAAUCUGACGGAGUUGCAUUAUUUUAUAAGCCUUCGCGUUUAAAACUUCAAGACAUAAUUUCGCUAGAGUUCAAUCAAAAUCGCGUUGGUCUUGAUAGAGACAAUGUAGCUCUGAUAGGUCAGUUUCAAACUAAAGGAAAUCAGUCAUUUAUAUUAGCAACAACACACUUAUUGUUUAACCCUAAACGAUCUGAUGUUCGUUUGGCGCAAACUGCCCUUCUUUUGGCCGAACUUCAACGACUCUCCUUUGUCAAUUUAUCAAAAUUUAGCCCCGUCAUCAUAGCAGGGGAUUUCAAUUUUACCCCUAAUUCAAUGGAACACAAUUUUUGGAUGAAUGGAAAAGCAAAAUUCAAACAAAAUAUCUCAUUUGGCCUUCGCUCGAUUGGCUUGACGUCAAAUUGUGUUCAUGAACACGUAGAGAAGUAUCAACAUGAGACUGGAUCAUCUUUAGCCAAUAAAAGUCCACAUUUUAUUGACAGAAGUGCUCGUCUCUUUAAUCCACUAAAAGUUCCAUACAAUCCUUAUGAAGCACCUUUUGAGGAAAUUAAUCAUAAUUUUAGCUUUAAUUCAAUUGAAACAUUGGAUCAAGGCGUUACUUGUAAGCAUGACGAUAGAUGGCGUAGAGUAGACUAUUUGUUUUAUUCCAGCAGUAAAUCCUCUAUGUUAUAUGGAAAAAAUGAAGGGAAGCUAAAAUUGGUUCAAGUUUUACGAUCUCCAAUGUCCAAAGGUUUGAAAGGGUUACGUAUUCCCUCUAAGAUGUUCCCUUCCGAUCAUAUAAGCCAAGCAGCCAAAUUCAUACUUCUAAAAUAAUAUCGGACUCAUCUAUAAAAUAAUGUAUAAUAAUUAGGUAAGGCAUUAAGACCCAAAUCAAUUAAUGUAUUUUUGAAAUUAGAUUUUAUAUGGCAUGUAAUCUCUUAAUAUAUUUUUUAUGUCUCCGUAUAUUUGUAUUACUCUAUAUUUAUAUAUAUAUAUAUAUUGUAAAUCCCGUCUGAUGAGCUGGUAUAUGUUCCUAUUUCUAAAUUAUUAAAAUGUUCAUUUGAUAGAAAGAUUAACUAAUUCUAAUAGAUACUCUCAUCUUUCUAACAGUCUUGGAGUAAAAAUGAUGAAAUAUUUCGUUAAUAAAAAACUAUUAUUGGUUGUUAUUGAGCUCGCCAAUACAUUAAUUUUAUAAUUAGUGGACAGUAAAACAUAAUCAGUAAAUACACCUUGAUAAUGUACGUAUACCUAAUAGAGAAUGUAAUACAUAGAGACGACAAGUUGGGAAAUAUCUUUAUCUAAAUUUCAGCUUUUAACCAUCAUUUAUGAAGGAGAGAAAAAAGUAGAAAGUUGUAAAAUAGUAGUCUUCUUCCUUUUAAAAUAUUGCUUAUGGCCAAUUAAAUUUACUUGACUGAUUUAGAAAAACCAAUGAAUAUGCAUAACGUUGAAUAGUUCAAACUUGUAUUUCAAACCAAGAACAUUCCUACGCAAUCUAUUUUUAUAGCAGCUGAAUUCUUUAACCCCACAUGUAACCUCAAAAAUACGUAGCAUCACAAUGGCAAACUACUACCACAAAUAACUUGUCCUCUCUUUAUAUUUAUUCCUCUAUGGAUUUGUGAGAUUAUCACAAGAAAUAAAUGUACGGUUGUAUUUCCUGAAAUUGUAAUAAAUCCAGUUUACUGAUCAGUUAGCUAAGUAUUUCGGAAAAUUAUAUUCAACUUUAACAUUAGUAAUAAGAUUAAUUGAAUAGUUGACAUGUUAGGUUUAUAUUUACAAAAUUCUAUCUCAUGAACUAAUGAAAAUAUAUGUAUGAAAUGAUGAUCUCCAACCAUUUUUUAGUAUGGUAAUAUAAUCGAUUUUUAUCAACUCUCGAGGUAUCAAACUAAAUUGUCCUAGAUUAAAUAUUAAAUAAUUGCUACUAAUUCACAUAUCUGUAUCGGCAUAUUCUUCCAUUACAACAAAUGGCACAUAAAUCUAAAAAUAGACAAGAAAAAAUCAACAACAAAUAAAUUAUAUACAUUACCUAGGCCAAGGACUCAUGUAAGCAGGACAGGACACUGCGCUCACGUGUUUCCAAUAUGGGUCUUUGUUGAUUCUAUAUGGAAUGUCUCUCCUUCAAGUGUAACUCUACAAAAUAAAGAGUUUUUAAAAGUAUUUUGCUUGGGGAAAUCAUCAAAAUAAAAAAAAUGAGGCUAUAUAUUUUUAAUAGAAGUGGUAUUUUAUUAAAACUUUAAUCAAAAUACAUUACAUCAAACAUUAAAAAGAUAUAAAAAAGAAAAGGCACUAUCAGAAAGUACGAAGUAGGUCCAAGUCUACAAGUCAGAAGAUUUUGAUUGAAAUUUAUCUUUUUUUCUAUUAGCUUCUGAAUUCUUAGCUGCCAUUCUCUUUUUUGUUAAAAAUCGGAUGUCAUCAUUCAGUUUAGUACUUAUAUUUUUACCCAUGGCAUUAAACAAAGCGAAUGAAAUUAUUUGAAGAAAAGCUGACCAGGAGUGUCCUUCCUCGCACUUUACUCCCACAACGGCGAUAAUGUCAGAGUUUAAAUUGUCCUGCAUCCUGUCAAUGAAUGUGGCAAAAAAUGAAGCUCUAGGAUUUGAGGUGCCAAGUAAACUGUCCUUCUCUUUAGAAGUAGCUGUGAUGUUAGAGAACAUGGAGUGACCAUAAAGUCAGGAGAGGUAGAGAAGGUCGGAUGGGGUCGACAACCCCCCUCUGCUCAUUAUGUCGAUGACCUCUUUCAGGUCUACAUGCUGAUUGGUUGGGCUAUCGAAGGGUAUUGAGUCCGGAGGUGUGUCUCUGAUGACUAUUAACUCUUGGCAUGAUGUACAGCUGAUCUUCUUCUUCAAAGAAAACCCUAUAUACCUUACAACAAAGUAUAGAGCAUUACUCUCUUCCUUAGAAGCUAGUUCCUGGAGGUCAUGAUAUUAUAGUAUUGUAAAAAUAAGUAAUACCUAAAUAAAGAAGCUUACUAUUAACAAAUAUCUUAUUUACCUGAGAAUUUGACAAGAAUACGAAUCUUAUUCUCUGUUUCCAGGAUCUGUCUCACAGUGAUAUAGUAGAUAUCUUCACUUAGUUGUCUGUACCAGCCAAACCUUCUUUUGGUGGGACCGGACUGGAACUUGCCGAGGAGUACAUAAGAGAAGUCUUCAUCUAUGAGAUGGUACUCAGCAAGAUCUACUGCAGUAAGGCACGUCUGCUUUGUUUCUAGGAAGGUUUCGGAGGGCAGGUGCUUUACUGUUUUGCCACUCGAUGAGAAAAUCGACAAAAUCUCUCAAGAAAGAGAGGGCAAGUUUUUUCUUAUCAGAAAUUGGUUCUCAAAGCUCAUCUCUCUUUUCGCAAUCAACUCCAGGUGUCUUGACGUUCAGUAAAUUCCACAUAGUCCUAAGCUCACAUUCUCCCACAUGAGUACGGUUGAAAGAAGACAAGGUGAAUAUUAUCUAGCUUUUGGUUUGGUGAAGAGGAGAACCAUUUUCUUACGAAUGAAAUAGAGCUUAGAAGCUUGCUUAGGUUCAAUCUCUGAGGAGUUGAGAAACUUCACUAACUUGUUGAAAAUGUCUUCUCCGGUCUGUGGUUGAUUCAAUUCUUCUUUUGCUCCCAGAAAGGAAGCCAAAUUGAUGGCUUGAAUCACAGUGUUGACCUUGCCUUCUGAGGUGAUGUGUGACACUACCUUUUUGUCAAUCAACACACCAGAGUGGUACAUAUCUGUCUCAAACGGAAUGCUGGCUACUACUUGGGGUUCCAACUUCUCAUCAUUGGAUAGCUUCAAAAGGCCAACACUUGGUUUUGUGAUGAGGGUAACGUUUGAUGGGAGUGUCUCCUUGGCCAAUUUGUCACCAAGUUCUUCAACAGAACUCAUUUAAUUGAACUAUUGAGCCCUACGUGACGUGGUCAUAGCUUGAGUUGGCAUUGAAGAAGCUUGAGGAGUUGAGAGGUAGUUGGGGCAGUUGGGGCAGUUUGGCCAUAGUGAUGGUACCUCAUCUGGUUUGAGGUACCUGUAAAAGAAGGACAGUUAUAAGCAUACGUAUCAAAAGUGAGCAGCUGUUUUACCUCUUCUUCAGAGGCUUGCCAUGAGUCGGACUUCUUUUAGACUCACAGAUGAAAUCAGAUUCGUUGAAAUGCAGGGAACACAGAUUUGUACUUUUGGAUGGUGCCUAAUCUGUCUUCUUCAGAUCUGUUUCUCUUGGAAUGACUCUCAGCAAGGCGGUAUCAUGUCUGGGGUUUCUUUCUUUGUUUGGCCACAGAUGGAUCGUAACACCAGACUGUUGUGGCUCCUUGUCAUAGCCCGUUCUACACCCUGGAGCACAACACUUAGUGGGCAUGAAUGGAAUUACAAAACACAAUAAAGAGGGGGUCCACAAAGUAACUUAUAGUUAUUACUUAUUAUCUUACCAAACACGUUGCAAUGUUUUUUGUUUUUUGCAUUUGAAUUCAUGUUUGCGCGUGCCCGGUCCUGUUUACAGGAGUCCUUGGCUGAACGGACGUGGGCAACCAUUGAGUUCAGUUCAUUGAAUUGUUCAUCACACAAUUACAUUUGAAAUCUUUUGAAGCCAUAAUUACAUGAAUAACACUAAAUAACACGAAAAAAUGCUAGAGAGUACUUGCAAGCGACUACACUGGAAGCGAGAAUAGCAAAGAUUGAGAUAGAACAAAGGAAA
rnacentral:misc_RNA from 1 species